GACGAACGCUGGCGGCGUGCCUAACACAUGCAAGUCGAGCGAGGGGAGUUUCUUCGGAAACAAACCUAGCGGCGGACGGGUGAGUAACACGUGGGCAACCUGCCUUAUAGUGGGGAAUAGCCUCCCGAAAGGGAGAUUAAUACCGCAUAAUAUUACACUUUCGCAUGAAGGAGUAAUUAAAGGAGCAAUUCGCUAUAAGAUGGGCCCGCGGCGCAUUAGCUAGUUGGUGAGGUAACGGCUCACCAAGGCGACGAUGCGUAGCCGACCUGAGAGGGUGAUCGGCCACAUUGGGACUGAGACACGGCCCAGACUCCUACGGGAGGCAGCAGUGGGGAAUAUUGCACAAUGGGGGAAACCCUGAUGCAGCAACGCCGCGUGAGUGAUGAAGGUCUUCGGAUCGUAAAGCUCUGUCUUCAGGGACGAUAAUGACGGUACCUGAGGAGGAAGCCACGGCUAACUACGUGCCAGCCGCCGCAGUAAUAC
rnacentral:rRNA from 1 species